GACAGAGGGUGCAAACGUUGCUCGGAUUUACUGGGCGUAAAGCGCAAGUAGGCGGUUCUGUAAGUCGGGUGUGAAAACCCGGGGCUCAACCCCGGCAGUGCACACGAUACUGCAAGACUCAGGGUACUGAAGAGGAGAGCGGAAUUCUCGGUGUAGAGGUGAAAUUCGUAGAUAUCGGGAGGAACACCAGUGGCGAAGGCGGCUCUCUGGGCAGAUACCGACGCUGAGAUGCGAAAGCGUGGGAAGCAAACAGG
rnacentral:rRNA from 1 species